rnacentral:rRNA from 1 species
CKUCUUGGUUUUUGGGAAAUUAUACCUGCUCACUGAAAAUUUAAAGAGCCGCGGUAUUUUGACUGUGCAAAGGUAGCAUAAUCAUUAGUUUUUUAAUUGGAAACUGGAAUGAAUGGUUCGACGAAGCAAAAACUGUCUCUCAAUUAAAUAUUGAAGUUUACUUUUAAGUUAAAAGGCUUAAAUGGAAGUGGGGGACGAGAAGACCCUAUAGAUCUUUAUAAUUAAAUAAGGAUACAUUGAUUGUGGAGGUUAAUGGAUUAUUUUUAUUAAUUAUUUCAUUGGGGUGAUGCGAGAAUAAAUAAACUUCUUGAUAUUGGAACUUUUAUUGAUGGUUUUAAGAUCCUUAAUAAGGAAGUUAGAUUAAGAUACCUUAGGGAUAACAGCGUAAUUUUAUUUGAAAGUUCUUAUUAACAAUAAGGAUUGCGACCUCGAUGUUGGAUUAAGAUGGAKUUUUGGWGWAGCAACUAGWUGUKKUSGGCUSKWC